rnacentral:rRNA from 1 species
UAUGCUUAACACAUGCAAGUCGAACGGUAGCAGGCCUUCGGCGCUGACGAGUGGCGGACGGUGAGUAACGCGUAGGAAUCUGCCUGGUAGUGGGGGACAACGUGGGGAAACUCACGCUAAUACCGCAUACGCCCUACGGGGGAAAGCGGGGGCUCUUCGGACCUCGCGCUAUCAGAUGAGCCUGCGUUAGAUUAGCUAGUUGGUAGGGUAAAGGCCUACCAAGGCGACGAUCUAUAGCUGGUCUGAGAGGACGAUCAGCCACACUGGGACUGAGACACGGCCCAGACUCCUACGGGAGGCAGCAGUGGGGAAUAUUGGACAAUGGGCGCAAGCCUGAUCCAGCAAUACCGCGUGUGUGAAGAAGGCCUUAGGGUUGUAAAGCACUUUCAAUGGGGAGGAAAACCUGCCGGUCAAUACCCGGUAGCUUGACAUUACCUUUAGAAGAAGCACCGGCUAACUCCGUGCCAGCAGCCGCGGUAAUACGGAGGGUGCGAGCGUUAAUCGGAAUUACUGGGCGUAAAGCGUGCGUAGGCGGUUCGUUAAGUCAGAUGUGAAAGCCCCGGGCUUAACCUGGGAACUGCAUUUGAAACUGGCGGACUAGAGUUGAGUAGAGGGGAGUGGAAUUUCAGGUGUAGCGGUGAAAUGCGUAGAUAUCUGAAGGAACACCAGUGGCGAAGGCGACUCCCUGGACUCAAACUGACGCUGAGGUACGAAAGCGUGGGUAGCAAACAGGAUUAGAUACCCUGGUAGUCC